AUACUUACCUGGCAAGGGAGACACCGUGAUCAAGAAGGCGGUUCACCCAGGGCGAGGCUCAGCCAUUGCACUCCGGCUGUGCUGACCCCUGCGAAUUUCCCAAAUGUGGAAAUCUCGAUUGCAUAAUUUCUGGUAGUGGGGGACUGUGUUCGCGCUCUCCCCUG
rnacentral:snRNA from 1 species